rnacentral:lncRNA from 1 species
GGCCUUCCGAUCUUUGCUAUCAGUGUAGGUCUCAAUACAUGUGACAAAGCAUCUGUAAGACUUUGAUAUAGUAUUUUCUGGUGUAAUAUUUUUUACAAUACCACAAUCAUUGUAUAAUUUUAUUCAUUUACUCACAGCAGGUCCAGCAUUAUGUGCAAUCACAUAUUCAAAUCAAUGAGUACCACGAUCGUGUAAUAUUGGUGAGGGAACCAUUGCAGUCCCUAGUUAACUGCCUUUGUCCGGUGUGUGGCAAGGAUCAAGAGUCUACAGAACAUACGUGUGUGACGUGUGCUUUCGCUCAAACGGUAUGGCAUUUAGUAUCGCAAUGGUGCAAGCUCCCUCCAAUCUAUGCAUUCCGGAUAUUAAGUCAAAACCAGGUUGGGUUAGCGAUCAUGGGAUAUAAUUUGCCACAACCAGCUUAGCUUUGGGAAAGAUAUUAAGCUUUGUCACGACAACAUGACAUAACCCACAUGAUGAGAGGCAUUCUCAUCAACCAGCUAACUAGUUGCAGGCUGCAGGUCACGCGUGUUAGAAAGUUCCAUAGAGUUGCUACUACAUGCUGCUUGGUUGCGAAUGCUUUUGGGAUUGGGUCUUAGGUGUUUUUUUGUCAUUUUAUGAAUAGAAUAUACAUAUAUAAAUUGUUUCUAUGUUUCGAGUCUUUGGUCCCUUAUAAGGUUCAAAGAAAUUAAACAUGUAAUCCCUUCUUUUUAUCCCUUAUAAGGUUCAAAGAAAUUAAACAUGUAAUCCCUUCUUUUU